rnacentral:rRNA from 1 species
AUUGAACGCUGGCGGCAUGCCUUACACAUGCAAGUCGAACGGCAGCACGGAGCUUGCUCUGGUGGCGAGUGGCGAACGGGUGAGUAAUAUAUCGGAACGUACCCUAGAGUGGGGGAUAACGUAGCGAAAGUUACGCUAAUACCGCAUACGAUCUAAGGAUGAAAGUGGGGGAUCGCAAGACCUCAUGCUCGUGGAGCGGCCGAUAUCUGAUUAGCUAGUUGGUAGGGUAAAAGCCUACCAAGGCAUCGAUCAGUAGCUGGUCUGAGAGGACGACCAGCCACACUGGAACUGAGACACGGUCCAGACUCCUACGGGAGGCAGCAGUGGGGAAUUUUGGACAAUGGGCGAAAGCCUGAUCCAGCAAUGCCGCGUGAGUGAAGAAGGCCUUCGGGUUGUAAAGCUCUUUUGUCAGGGAAGAAACGGUGAAAGCUAAUAUCUUUUGCUAAUGACGGUACCUGAAGAAUAAGCACCGGCUAACUACGUGCCAGCAGCCGCGGUAAUACGUAGGGUGCAAGCGUUAAUCGGAAUUACUGGGCGUAAAGCGUGCGCAGGCGGUUUUGUAAGUCUGAUGUGAAAUCCCCGGGCUCAACCUGGGAAUUGCAUUGGAGACUGCAAGGCUAGAAUCUGGCAGAGGGGGGUAGAAUUCCACGUGUAGCAGUGAAAUGCGUAGAUAUGUGGAGGAACACCGAUGGCGAAGGCAGCCCCCUGGGUCAAGAUUGACGCUCAUGCACGAAAGCGUGGGGAGCAAACAGGAUUAGAUACCCUGGUAGUCCACGCCCUAAACGAUGUCUACUAGUUGUCGGGUCUUAAUUGACUUGGUAACGCAGCUAACGCGUGAAGUAGACCGCCUGGGGAGUACGGUCGCAAGAUUAAAACUCAAAGGAAUUGACGGGGACCCGCACAAGCGGUGGAUGAUGUGGAUUAAUUCGAUGCAACGCGAAAAACCUUACCUACCCUUGACAUGGCUGGAAUCCUUGAGAGAUCAGGGAGUGCUCGAAAGAGAGCCAGUACACAGGUGCUGCAUGGCUGUCGUCAGCUCGUGUCGUGAGAUGUUGGGUUAAGUCCCGCAACGAGCGCAACCCUUGUCAUUAGUUGCUACGAAAGGGCACUCUAAUGAGACUGCCGGUGACAAACCGGAGGAAGGUGGGGAUGACGUCAAGUCCUCAUGGCCCUUAUGGGUAGGGCUUCACACGUCAUACAAUGGUACAUACAGAGCGCCGCCAACCCGCGAGGGGGAGCUAAUCGCAGAAAGUGUAUCGUAGUCCGGAUUGUAGUCUGCAACUCGACUGCAUGAAGUUGGAAUCGCUAGUAAUCGCGGAUCAGCAUGUCGCGGUGAAUACGUUCCCGGGUCU